rnacentral:rRNA from 1 species
UACGGGGGGGGCAAGCGUUGUUCGGAAUUACUGGGCGUAAAGGGCUCGUAGGCGGCCAACUAAGUCGGAUGUGAAAUCCCCAGGCUUAACCUGGGAACUGCAUCCGAUACUGGAUGGCUUGAAUCCGGGAGAGGGAUGCAGAAUUCCAGGUGUAGCGGUGAAAUGCGUAGAUAUCAGGAGGAACACCGAUGGCGAAGGCAGCUGCCUGGCCUAACACUGACGCUGAGGAGCGAAAGCCAGGGGAGCAAACGGG